rnacentral:rRNA from 1 species
UACGUAGGGAGCAAGCGUUGUCCGGAAUCAUUGGGCGUAAAGCGCGCGUAGGCGGCCCUGUAAGUCCGUUGUGAAAGUCAAAGGCUCAACCUUUGAAAGCCGAUGGAUACUGCAGGGCUGGAGUCCGGAAGAGGCGAGUGGAAUUCCUGGUGUAGCGGUGGAAUGCGCAGAUAUCAGGAGGAACACCAAUAGCGAAGGCAGCUCGCUGGGACGGUACUGACGCUGAGGCGCGAAAGCUAGGGGAGCGAACGGG